rnacentral:rRNA from 1 species
ACGAACGCUGGCGGCGUGCUUAACACAUGCAAGUCGAACGGAAAGGCCCCUUUGGGGGUACUCGAGUGGCGAACGGGUGAGUAACACGUGAGUAACCUGCCCUUGACUUCGGGAUAACUUCAGGAAACUGGGGCUAAUACCGGAUAGGAAUCCUUGCUGCAUGGUGGGGGUUGGAAAGCUUCGGCGGUUUUGGAUGGACUCGCGGCUUAUCAGCUUGUUGGUGGGGUAGUGGCUUACCAAGGCUUUGACGGGUAGCCGGCCUGAGAGGGCGACCGGCCACAUUGGGACUGGGAUACGGCCCAGACUCCUGCGGGAGGCAGCAGUGGGGAAUAUUGCACAAUGGGCGGAAGCCUGAUGCAGCAACGCCGCGUGCGGGAUGACGGCCUUCGGGUUGUAAUCCGCUUUCAGCAGGGGCGAAGCUUGUGGUGACGGUACCUGCAGAAGAAGCACCGGCUAACUACGUG